rnacentral:rRNA from 1 species
CGCCUGCCCUGUGACUAUGGGUUUAACGGCCGCGGUAUUUUGACCGUGCGAAGGUAGCGCAAUCACUUGUCUUUUAAAUGAAGACCUGUAUGAAUGGCAUCACGAGGGCUUAGCUGUCUCCUCUCCCAAGUCAAUGAAAUUGAUCUGUCCGUGCAGAAGCGGGCAUAAGUACAUAAGACGAGAAGACCCUAUGGAGCUUUAGACACCAGGCAGAUCACGUCAAGUAACCUUAAAUUAAUAAGUGGAAACGCAGUGACCCCUAGCCCAUAUGUCUUUGGUUGGGGCGACCGCGGGGGAAAAUAAAGCCCCCAUGUGGACUGGGGGCACUGCCCCCACAGCCGAGAGCUACAGCUCUAAGCACCAGAAUUUCUGACCAAAAAUGAUCCGGCGAACGCCGAUCAACGGACCGAGUUACCCUAGGGAUAACAGCGCAAUCCUCUCCCAGAGUCCCUAUCGACGAGGGGGUUUACGACCUCGAUGUUGGAUCAGGACAUCCUAAUGGUGCAGCCGCUAU